GGGCGGAUGUAGCCAAGUGGAUUAAGGCGGCGGAUUGUGAAUCCACCAUGC
rnacentral:tRNA from 1 species